UAAAAAAAAGGGUACAAUGAUUAACAUACCAUGCUCAUAAACGAAGCCAUCGAAGCUUGAACACCCAGGUCCACCAUUCAGCCAUAGCACCACUGGGUCCUUCUCUGCACUUCUUUCUGAGCUCACCAAGUAGUAGAACAGAUGUGGGACAAAAGCGUACCCUGAAUAGUGGUUGGAUGGGAAACUGGAGCUGAAGCCAGGGAGUUGUGUGACGAGAGAGUGAGGAGGAGCAGCUUGAAGAUGGAUCCAAUGAGCCAAGAAAAGGAUGAUGAAGAGUGGUAGCAAGUUUUGAUUUUCCAUGACCAUUGAAAUCUGGUGGGUGUUUUGUUGAAUUCCUCACCCAAUGGGUCUCUCAGAGUGUGUUGAGAAGAAAACAAUCUGAAGGAAUGAAGCAAUGAGGAAAUCAUGAUGAGUGUUUAUAUACAUAUAUGUAUAGAUAUGAGGGUUGUGUGUGUGUGAAUUGAAAGGUAUUGAAAAAGGAAAGAAAGGAAUCAGUGAUUAAGCUGUAGUGUAACAGUGAAGGUGGGAGAAGGAAGCAUUAUUCGAUUAAAAAAUGUGUUUUAGGAAAAAGGUGAGUUUGGAAUUUAUACCACAGAAAUGUAAGAAAGUUAAGAAGAAAACUGCAGCAUGGGCGAGUCAGAGUCACCACGUGUGUUUAUUUCUCUAACCAUUUCCUCUGUUGUUUUUGUUCCACACACUACUGUUUUGUUUCUGUUUCUGCUUCUGCAAUCAUAUUUAUAACACAAACUUCGUACUUCAGUUUUA